ensembl:lncRNA
CGAACGCCACGCGUGCACACACAGAGCGAUGUGUGCGUCCGUGCCUGGCCUUGCUUGCGUCGACUGGUGUGCACGUCCUUUGCUUAUCCUAGGCUCAGAGAGAGGAGGAGAGGGUAAAAGACUGAGAGAAAAAAGACGGAGAGCGCGAGGGAGCAUAGCAAGAGCGCGCAUUCGAGACGGCGCCCGGUAAGCAGGGGGAGAGGUCCAGCUGCAAAAAAGGAAGAAAAAAACGAUCCUCCAACGCCACGGUGACAAUGGCAGCAUCAAGCACCUCGUGAAGGUCCAACACCGCGAAAGGAGCCGGAGUUAUAAACCGCUACCGGACGAUCUGAAUCAGUCACACUGAGGUUUUACAUGACAUGGUUCACUGCUGACUUUCUUUCUGGAAUACAAAUCAUUGUGUAGGCUAAUUGAAAAUGGAGCGGCGGGGGAGAGGAGAAUCUCGUUGCCAUCUCCUCCAUCGCUGAGGGAGAGAGAGGCGCGUCCACCCGACUCCUCUAGCCGAGGCCCGUUGAUCUGGUGGCGGCGGAGGAACACGGGAUCAUGCCGCGGUCGUGUCCGUGUUUUAGUGGAAAGACACAUCUCUGAUAUCGGUCCAAAAGGCGACGGAGAGGGAUCACUUCACAACCGGGAAAAACGCAGUUUUGCUGCAGGAGCUGGAGGACCGUCCAAUUAGCAGAGGGGAGACCUGUUCUGUCCCCCAGGACUGUCCAAUCAGCAGAGGGGAGACCUGUUCUGUCCCCCAGGACUGUCCAAUCAGCAGAGGGGAGACUUGUUUGGUCUCCAAUCACCGGAGAGGAGAUCUGAAGUGGUGGUGCCAUCCAUGCUGCCGUCCUUUCUGCAUCCCUCCCUCUGUCUCUCAGUCCAGCCAGUCAGAGAGCCACAUUCCCUGCCACAUCCAAGCUCCGCCCCCCGGCUCAGACCCCUCUCCCAGACCUGACCAAGGCCUCCUCCAGCCUCCUGCUCAUGAGGUCCUAGACCCUAACAUAUCUCACCUAGCCCCUGUAUCCCCCUUUCCCUGACCUAGUCCCUCUCUCCCCCUUUCCCUGACCUAGCCCCUCUCUCCCCCUUUCCCUGACCUAGCCCCUCUCUCCCCCUUUCCCUGACCUAGCCCCUCUCUCCCCCUUUCCCUGACCUAGUCCCUCUCUCCCCCUUUCCC